rnacentral:rRNA from 1 species
UACAGAGGUCCCGAGCGUUGUUCGGAUUCAUUGGGCGUAAAGGGUGCGUAGGCGGUCUUCUAAGUUUGAUGUGAAAUCCCGGGGCUCAACCCUGGAAUGGCAUUGAAUACUGGAGGACUAGAGUACCGGAGAGGAAACUGGAAUUUACGGUGUAGCAGUGAAAUGCGUAGAGAUCGUAAGGAAGACCAGUGGCGAAGGCGGCUUUUUGGUCUGUAACUGACGCUGAGGCGCGAAAGCGUGGGGAGCAAACAGG